rnacentral:rRNA from 1 species
UGGGGAAUUUUGGACAAUGGGCGAAAGCCUGAUCCAGCAAUGCCGCGUGUGUGAAGAAGGCCUUCGGGUUGUAAAGCACUUUUGUCCGGAAAAGAAAAUCCUUGGCUCUAAUACAGUCGGGGGAUGACGGUACCGGAAGAAUAAGCACCGGCUAACUACGUGCCAGCAGCCGCGGUAAUACGUAGGGUGCAAGCGUUAAUCGGAAUUACUGGGCGUAAAGCGUGCGCAGGCGGUUUGCUAAGACCGAUGUGAAAUCCCCGGGCUCAACCUGGGAACUGCAUUGGUGACUGGCAGGCUAGAGUAUGGCAGAGGGGGGUAGAAUUCCACGUGUAGCAGUGAAAUGCGUAGAGAUGUGGAGGAAUACCGAUGGCGAAGGCAGCCCCCUGGGCCAAUACUGACGCUCAUGCACGAAAAGCGUGGGGAGCAAAACAGGAUUAGAUACCCUGGUAGUCCACGCCCUAAAACGAUGUCAACUAGUUGUUGGGGAUUCAUUUCCUUAGUAACGUAGCUAACGCGUGAAGUUGACCGCCUGGGGAGUACGGUCGCAAGAUUAAAACUCAAAGGAAUUGACGGGGUCAUAGCUG